UACGUAGGGGCAAGCGUUGUCCGGAAUCACUGGGCGUAAAGGGCGCGUAGGCGGCUUUAUAAGUCGGGGUGAAAGCCUGUGGCUCAACCACAGAAUUGCCUUCGAUACUGUAGAGCUUGAGACCGGAAGAGGUAAGUGGAACUGCGAGUGUAGAGGUGAAAUUCGUAGAUAUUCGCAAGAACACCAGUGGCGAAGGCGGCUUACUGGUCCGGUUCUGACGCUGAGGCGCGAAAGCGUGGGGAGCAAACAGG
rnacentral:rRNA from 1 species